AGCUCAUGUUUCUCUUCAAAUCGUACAAAUCUUUCGCCUUUUACUAAAGAUUUCCGUGGAGAGAGACAGAAUGAGAAAAGAUCAAUUUUUGCUAUGCUCUGCUUUGUCAGAGCAU
ensembl:snRNA U5 U5 spliceosomal RNA